UGGGGAAUAUUGGACAAUGGGCGAAAGCCUGAUCCAGCCAUGCCGCGUGUGUGAAGAAGGUCUUCGGAUUGUAAAGCACUUUAAGUUGGGAGGAAGGGUUGUAGAUUAAUACUCUGCAAUUUUGACGUUACCGACAGAAUAAGCACCGGCUAACUCUGUGCCAGCAGCCGCGGUAAUACAGAGGGUGCAAGCGUUAAUCGGAAUUACUGGGCGUAAAGCGCGCGUAGGUGGUUAGUUAAGUUGGAUGUGAAAAUCCCCGGGCUCAACCUGGGAACUGCAUUCAAAACUGACUGACUAGAGUAUGGUAGAGGGUGGUGGAAUUUCCUGUGUAGCGGCGAAAUGCGUAGAUAUAGGAAGGAACACCAGUGGCGAAGGCGACCACCUGGACUGAUACUGACACUGAGGUGCGAAAGCGUGGGGAGCAAAACAGGAUUAGAUACCCUGGUAGUCCACGCCGUAAACGAUGUCAACUAGCCGUUGGGAGCCUUGAGCUCUUAGUGGCGCAGCUAACGCAUUAAGUUGACCGCCUGGGGAGUACGGCCGC
rnacentral:rRNA from 1 species